rnacentral:rRNA from 1 species
CAAUAGCGUAUAUUAAAGUUGUUGCAGUUAAAAAGCUCGUAGUUGAAUUUCUGGCGGGCGCGCCGGUCUUCCAAGUGUUGUACUGGGCGCAGUCCGCCAUCCUUGUGGAGAGGGCUCGCAUUGAGUUGCGUGUCGGAUCUGCAUCAUUUACUGUGAAAAAAUUAGAGUGUUUAAAGCAGGCUGUCGCUUGAAUACAAUAGCAUGGAAUAAUAAGAUAGGACUUCGGUCUAUUUUGUUGGUUGCGAACCGAGGUAAUGAUUAAUAGGGAUAGUUGGGGGUAUUCAUAUUUAAUUGUCAGAGGUGAAAUUCUUGGAUUUAUGAAAGAUGAACAACUGCGAAAGCAUUUACCAAGGAUGUUUUCAUUAA